AUGUGUUUUUAUAAUCAUGGCACUCUCCAACACACUAUGGCGCCUGCCAUGGCUAUUGAGUGGGAAGAAACGCGUUAUAACCUCCCUUCCCAUGAAUUUCAAACUUCCAAUCAUCAAAAAAACUUUUUCCCACUCACCCAUUUAUCUUCCACCACCUCCAUAAUUUCCCCACUUCCUCUAAUUCAUUCAUACUCGUUAAAAACCUAUUAA